rnacentral:rRNA from 1 species
GACGAACGCUGGCGGCGUGCUUAACACAUGCAAGUCGAACGAUGAACCGGCUUCGGCUGGGGAUUAGUGGCGAACGGGUGAGUAACACGUGGGCAAUCUGCCCUGCACUCUGGGACAAGCCCUGGAAACGGGGUCUAAUUCCGACUAACGUCUUGGGAUUCAGGUCCCGGGGAUCAAAGAUGGCUGAGGCUUGCAAGCUAUCGCUUAAGGAUGAGCCCGCGUACCAUUAGCUAGUUGGUGGGGUAAUGGCCCACCAAGGCCAUGAUGGUUAGCUGGUCUGAGAGGAUGGCCAGCCACACUGGAACUGAGAUACGGUCCAGACUCCUACGGGAGGCAGCAGUGAGGAAUCUUGCGCAAUGGGGGCAACCCUGACGCAGCAACGCCGCGUGAGUGAUGAAGGCCUUCGGGUCGUAAAGCUCUGUCAGAUGAGAAGAAAAUUCCGGGUGUGAACAAUGCCCGGGGUCGACGGUACCGUCAAAGGAAGCACCGGCUAACUCCGUGCCAGCCGCCGCUGUAAUAC